UACGUAGGGUGCAAGCGUUGUCCGGAAUUAUUGGGCGUAAAGAGCUCGUAGGCGGUUCGUCGCGUCGGCUGUGAAAUCCCGAGGCUCAACCUCGGGUCUGCAGUCGAUACGGGCGGACUGGAGUUCGGCAGGGGAGACUGGAAUUCCUGGUGUAGCGGUGAAAUGCGCAGAUAUCCGGAGGAACACCGGUGGCGAAGGCGGCUUCCUGGACCGACACUGACGCUGAGGCGCGAAAGCUAGGGGAGCAAACGGG
rnacentral:rRNA from 1 species